CGAGAUGUGGCGCAGUCUGGUGAGCGCGCCGGUCUGGGGGACCGGAGGGCGCGGGUUCAAAUCCCGCCAUCUCGA
rnacentral:tRNA from 1 species